UACGUAGGUGGCGAGCGUUGUCCGGAUUUACUGGGUGUAAAGGGCGCGUAGGCGGGUGGAUAAGUCAGAUGUGAAAUACCGGAGCUCAACUCCGGGGCUGCAUUUGAAACUGUUCAUCUUGAGUGCAGGAGAGGUAAGUGGAAUUCCUAGUGUAGCGGUGAAAUGCGUAGAUAUUAGGAGGAACACCAGUGGCGAAGGCGACUUACUGGACUGUAACUGACGCUGAGGCGCGAAAGCGUGGGGAGCAAACAGG
rnacentral:rRNA from 1 species